rnacentral:sRNA from 1 species
AAUAGAUAAAGAAAAA